rnacentral:rRNA from 1 species
AAACCGUUCAGGGGUAAACCUAAGAAACCCAAAAGAUCGAACGGGGAGAUUCAUCGUCAGCGGAGCUGGCUUCGCGUCGGUGGGCGAUGACCCCGCGGCGUGUUCUAAACGGCACGCGCGCGCGGGCACGCUACCGUGCGCCGAUGUCCGGUUUUCGUCGUCGUGCACUUCUCCCCUGGUAGAACGUCGCGACCCGCUGGGUGUCGGUCAACGGCCCGGGUGCGGUGACUGUCGCGUCGCCCGUAAAAACGGCGCGCGGCAAACCCUCGGUCGCCCGACCGGCUGCCCGGCGGUACACGCACGGUAUCAGGCCGCACCAACGGUGCGUCGAGAAGUAGUCGGGCGCGCGCCACGGUUAAAUUCGGCGGUAACGGACUUAGCGCCGUCCCCGAUCCUGGCGCGUUCGCGCCGCACGUGUCCAAAGUAGACCUUCGACUGGCCUUGCGAACGUCUCGCGCGCUUUCGGGCGUUGCGAGACCGAUACCGGUCGGCGACGCUACUGCUUUGGGUACUCUUAGGA